rnacentral:rRNA from 1 species
UACGGAGGAUGCAAGCGUUAUCCGGAAUGAUUGGGCGUAAAGCGUCCGCAGGUGGCAAUGUAAGUCUGCUGUUAAAGAGUCUAGCUCAACUAGAUAACAGCAGUGGAAACUACAUAGCUAGAGUACGUUCGGGGCAGAGGGAAUUCCUGGUGUAGCGGUGAAAUGCGUAGAGAUCAGGAAGAACACCGGUGGCGAAGGCGCUCUGCUAGGCCGUAACUGACACUGAGGGACGAAAGCUAGGGGAGCGAAUGGG